rnacentral:misc_RNA from 1 species
GAUUUCCUAGUGAUAAAAGAGUCACAGAAAAUGGGAGCAGGAACUCUCAUGCGUUGUGUUCUAGCUUUCGUUGAUUUGAUCGAUCAAUAUAAACUUCGCAGGAAGUUAGAUCAAAUCAGGGUUGACCUCUUUCAAUUAUUUAAAGUAGAGUGCUAUCGAGAAUCGUGGUGGAGUUUGUCCAGAAAGGACCUUGAUGUGGGGGAAACCCUGAUUUCUCCCGUGAUCAGGAAAGUCACAGACAUAGUCAGUGACGGGCACCUUAGCCCUGCGGUAAGAAAGCAAGCCAGAUGGUUAAGAGAUGAAUUCAUCUCCUUGCACGAUUUUCUUCAGGCUAUAGAAGUUCAUGGAUUAAGUGACGGAGGAGAGGCUUGGAUGGAGGAAGUCUAUGAUGUGUCGCGCUUAGCAGAGGAUGUUACUGGUUCAUUCUUGUAUGAGAGAGAGAAAAUGAGGAGGACAUGGACAGGGCCUUUCAAGAACCUGGCUCUAGCUCUCCACUGUUUCUUGUCUGAACGAAAUCUUGGCAAGGAGAUGGACCAGAUGAAAGCUAAAAUUCAAGACAUCUCUGUAAGAAAGAUCAAUGCCAUUCAACGACCAAUUGAACGUUUUGAAAGGCUACCAAUGAGAAUACCACCACAUCCUCUUCCUUGCAAGGUUGAAGAAAAACCUGAUAUUUCUAUCUUUGAUGGAGAUAUAGAUGAUAUUGUGGAGAUGUUGCUUAGAGAUGAUCCAAAUUGCCUGACUAUUUCAAUUGUGGGCAUGGAAGGCACUGGCAAGACAAGCCUGGCAAAGUUAAUCUAUGAGAAUCAGGCUAUUGCAGACAAAUUCGCAUACAGAGCUUGGGUGCCUGCAGCUAGUAUGGACAGUCUCAUGAGACAAAUUGCAGGGGACGAGUACAUAAAUAUGACAUCUGUGGUUCAGGAUUGGAAUGAAUUCUUAAUAAGUUCAAGGCAGAUGCUUAAUGCUUCCUUGAAGUCUAAGAAGUAUCUGAUUGUCAUUGAUGAGGUAUGCUCCGAAAGUUUGUGGAAUGAACUUGGGGUUGCAUUCAAUGACCUAUCAAACGGUACCAGAAUAAUUUUCACUGCUCGCAAAGUAGGAUUAACUCCACAAAUCAGCGAGAGAAACUUUACUUAUAGACUGCAACUGCGAAGCAACGAUGAGAGCUGGGCAUUGUUUACUCAUACCUUGAACAGGAACAUACCCAUAGAACUUCUAAAACUGAAAAGAGAAAUUUUAAGGAGGUGUGGAGGUUUGCCAUUGAUGAUCAAAAAGCUUGGAGGCCUGUUGUCAGAUAAAGAUGCAACUUAUGAGGAGUGGUCAAGGGUGCUUGAGCAGCUCAAUCAAAAUGAAGGGCCUUGGUCAGGAACCUUGUCUGAAAUCAAUAAGAAUUUGCCCCUGUAUUUAAGGCGAUGUCUUUUCUAUUUUGGAUUGUUUCCUGAAGACUUUGAGAUCCCUGCCAGAAGAUUGAUUUGCUUAUGGGUUGCAGAGGGCUUGGGGCGUCAGAAGGGUAAUAUGGAACCCCCAGAGCGUGUUUCUGAGAAGUGCUUGAUAGAGCUAGCAAACCAGAACAUAAUACAAGUGACUAAGAAGAAGCUUAAUGGAAAAAUUAGUAGAUGCCGCUUGCCUGAUGCUUUGCAGGUACACUGGCUGUCAAAAGCCAAAGAGGCUAAUUUUCUCCAAGAUAACAUUGGCAUCAAUUUGUCUACAAAUAUGGGUGAAAUACGCCGAUUAGCUGACUAUCUUGACCCUGCUGAUGCUAGCUUUAAUCAUAUCCAUGGUAACACCACCAGUUCUUCUAUAUUCUCUUGUUAUAAAUAUGUUGUUUCUUUUCUGUCUUUUGAUACUCGGGAAGGAAGCAGAGCUGGAGAAGACAUAGGAAACUUUCUUGAACGAUGCAUCUCUAGCAGUUCCUUCUGUUUCCUGUGGGUGCUAGAUCUUGAAAAUGUAUACAAGCCGAAAUUGCCCAAGGCUGUAGGCCAACUCACUCGGUUGAGGUACCUUGGCUUGAGGUCAACUUACCUGGAGAUUCUUCCUUUGUUCAUUGACAAACUACUAAACCUUCAAACACUAGAUUUGAAGCGUACUUGCCUCAACACUGUCCCCAAUUCAAUAUGGAAGAUGCAAAGCCUAAGACAUUUGUUUCUAGAUGAAAGUUUUCGCAGCUUGUUUGUCCCUCGACCAAAGGACGGCUCUCUGGUGGACCUUCAAACACUCUGGGGUGCAUUUAUAGAUGAGGACAGUCCUGUGAGGAAUGGCUUAGACACUUUGCGCAGGAUUACCAAAUUAGGACUGAAGUGCAAGACAUCGGUUUCAUCUCAAAAUGAGGCACUGUCCUCACAGCUGGUAACAGUGGCAAAUUGGGUUAUGAACCUGAAACAUCUUGAAUAUUUGAGAUUGAAAUCAUAUGAUGAAUCAGGUCAGCCUUGGGAUCUGUACUUGCAGACUUUAUUAAACCACAAGGAUCUCUGCAGUUUGUAUUUGGUCGGAAAGCUAAAGAAUCAGCUUCUUGUAUCUGAGUUACCCCAGAGUCUUAUUGAACUCACCUUGUCCGCAUCUGAAAUGGCAGAGGAUCCAAUGCAAACCUUGGACAAGCUUCCAAACCUUAGAAUUCUUAGAUUGUUCUCUAGAUCAUUUACGGGAAAGAAAAUGGUUUGCAGUUCUGGAGGAUUCACAAAGCUUGAAGUCCUCAAGUUCUGGGAGCUGGAAUCUCUGGAGGAAUGGGAUGUGAAGGAAGGGGCAUUACCAAGCCUAAAAGACUUGGAGAUCAGAUCCUGCGGAAAUUUGCAGAUGCUUCCUGACGGACUGAAGCUUGUUAGGACUCUCCGAGAAUUAAAGUUAACAAGACAGCCAGAGUUAUCUUCAAGGAUUAGGGAUAAUCAGGGUGAGGACAGGAACAAAAUUAUCCAUGCAAGACAUGUCUACAUAGAAGAUUGAUUAUACAAUGAGAGUAUUAGUACUCCUCUGCUAUCCAUAACCUUCCAUUUAUUUAAUUUAUGGCUUUUGGUAUGUUUUAUCAAGCAACAAUUAUGUUACAAUCUUCAUUUCCAUCUACUGUAAAGGGCUUUUUUCUUGGAUUCAUGAUCUUGUGCAGAACUAAAUGUUGAUGAAACAAGGGUUAGAUGAGAAAUUAAAGAUGAGGAAGGUUUAGAUUAUGUAUUUUCAUUUGUGUUUGUCUCUCUUGCUGGGAGUUUUAUUCUCUUUAAUGUAAGACUUUUUUUUUUUUG